rnacentral:rRNA from 1 species
GACGAACGCUGGCGGCGUGCUUAACACAUGCAAGUCGAACGGAAAGGCCCUGCUUUUGUGGGGUGCUCGAGUGGCGAACGGGGGAGUAACACGUGAGGAACCUCCACUUAACUUUGGGAUAACAUCAGGAAAAUGGGGCUCAUACCGGGUAGGAGCUCCUGCUGCAUGGGGGGGGUUGGAGAGAUUCGGCGGCGGGGGAAGGUCUCGCGGCUUAUCAGCUUGUUGGUGGGGUAGUGGCUUACCAAGGCUUUGACGGGUAGCCGGCCUGGGAGGGUGACCGGCGACAUUGGGCCUGCGAGACGCCGCAGAAUCCUACGGGAGGCAGCAGUGGAGAAUAUGGCGCAAUGGGCGGAAGCCUGAUGCAGCAACGCCGCGUGCGGGAUGACGGGCUUCGGGUUGUAAACCGCUUUCGCCUGUGCCGAAGCGUGAGUGACGGUAAUGGGUAAAGAAGCACCGGCUAACUACGUG